CCUACGGGAGGCUGCAGUGAGGAAUAUUGGUCAAUGGGCGAGAGCCUGAACCAGCCAAGUAGCGUGAAGGAUGACUGCCCUACGGGUUGUAAACCUCUUUUAUAAAGGAAUAAAGUGAGGCACGGGAGCCUUUUUGUAUGUACUUGAAGAAUAAGGAUCGGCUAACUCCGUGCCAGCAGCCGCGGUAAUACGGAGGAUCCGAGCGUUAUCCGGAUUUAUUGGGUUUAAAGGGAGCGUAGAUGGGUGGCAAAGUCAGGUGUGAAAGUUGGGGGCUCAACCCUAAUAUUGCCAUUGAUACUGGGUGCCUUGAGUGCAGUAUGGGUAGGCGGAAUUCGUGGUGUAGCGGUGAAAUGCAUAGAUAUCACGAAGAACUCCGAUUGCGAAGGCAGCCUAC
rnacentral:rRNA from 1 species